CAUUCCACCUCUUGAGCAAGAGAGGGAGGCGAAGUAGAGCACUCACCGACGAGCAGAAACGUUCGAUUCAUUAGGAGAGCGAAAAGAAGAUAGGCCAAAACCUUCGUUGCAUUAGUCGAGGGCGGCGACGACGAGCCACGAGAACCGCCUGCCGAAUUUCCGAUGAGAGCGAGCAAUUAGGAAAGAAAGAGGAGCAGAAGGAGAGCAUGGAAUGAGUGAGAUCAUUCAGCCGCCCCGCGCAACUGUAUCACUCACACACGCAGCUUCCGAUGUCAGUUUCACGUGCAUUAGUCAGCGCCGCGGUCAAAAUUUCGCUCUUUCGUGCCGGAAAAAGCGGGAAAAUUGUGAAAAUACCGGAAAAUAUUACCGACCACUGCAGUGUAGUGCAGUGAAGUGAUUAAACAUUUAAAAAGCAACCCAAAAACCUGGCUUUGUAGUGUUUUUUAUGGUGAAGAGUGGAAAAGUGGCCUGCAUUUGCUGGAAGUUGUGGAAAUAUGUGCAAACAACAAAUAUAUUGAACGCAUUACAUUUUUUCUUGUGCAAAACGCAGCCAAAAUGCCAGCGGCGUCUGCAUGUUCCCGUUAUGUCUGGAGAUGUCUCAAAUUUGUUCGUUCUUAUUUCUGCUGUGUGUGUGAGUGUGUGAGAGUAUGGUAUGCAAAAACAGCAACAAGUCGCUCACCAUUCCCAGAGAGCAGAGGAGCAGAGCAUUGCUCUCGCAAACAAGCACACGAUGUAAGGUGGCGCGCACCAAAUCCCCGAAGAUGCUACGUUCUCUCGUUUAGAUAUGUGCUCUGCAAUGCCUCACCUUGCUUAAAUGUACACCAAAGAUGCGCUCUUAUUGAAAAUGGCUCAUGUGCUGGAGCGAAAAGGAACGAUCUUUCGCUGCAGAUUCGCUUUAUUGGAAAAACCCAGGCAGAGAAAUGGAAAACCAUGGAAUUACGACCUUUGGACUAGGUUUUAGACUCCAAAAUAAAGGUUUAUAAAUUCAUGGAGUGGCAUCAGUUCUUCAUGAAGUCGAGAACCGAAUCGAGGCCUUGGAUUUCGGAUCAUUUGCCUUUAUCUUGAGACCCAAUGGAGCUGAAAUCUCUGUGCCAGGGAGAAAACCAGAUGGAGCACGGGAAGGAGGAGGAGGAGGAGUUUCCUGAACCAAGGAUCAUAAAUCUCCUGCAAGCCCAAGUCCAAGCUUUGGCCAAAUGGAAAGCAGAUGGAAGGGUGAGAAAAGUAUUCUCUAAAGGAAAUCUAUCCUCCAGAUAUACUCCCGAUAUUCGGUAGAGAAUCGUGCCAUGUUCCCCCCCGAGCUGUCGACCCAAAAAAAUGAGUCCACUUUUAAUUCUUGCAACCCACAUUUGAGCGCCAAUGAUUCAUUUGAAAAUGUGUGUGUGUUGCAAUCGUAUUCCCCUGCCGCAGCGCGAUUCCCGGGCCGCGAUUCAAUGGACCUUUUCAAAUGCCAUUCAUUAUGCCACUAAACUUAUUAGCUACAAAUGUGUCUCCUCAAUGUGUCACGUUACAGUCCCCCAACGGCGGCAUAAAUCACUUGCCAAAACAGCGGCAGCGGCAGUCCCACUGGCGGGCAGACAG